GGGCUUAGUGGUGGGGUGACUGCGUACCUUUUGUAUAAUGGGUCAGCGACUUAUAUUCUGUAGCAAGGUUAACCGAAUAGGGGAGCCGGAGGGAAACCGAGUCUUAACCGGGCGUUAAGUUGCAGGGUAUAGACCCGAAACCCGGUGAUCUAGCCAUGGGCAGGUUGAAGGUUGGGUAACACUAACUGGAGGACCGAACCGACUAAUGUUGAAAAAUUAGCGGAUGACCUGUGGCUGGGGGUGAAAGGCCAAUCAAACCGGGAGAUAGCUGGUUCUCCCCGAAAGCUAUUUAGGUAGCGCCUCGUGAAUUCAUCUCCGGGGGUAGAGCACUGUUUCGGCUAGGGGGCCAUCCCGGCUUACCAACCCGAUGCAAACUGCGAAUACCGGAGAAUGUUAUCACGGGAGACACACGGCGGGUGCUAACGUCCGUCGUGAAGAGGGAAACAACCCAGACCGCCAGCUAAGGUCCCAAAGUCAUGGUUAAGUGGGAAACGAUGUGGGAAGGCCCAGACAGCCAGGAUGUUGGCUUAGAAGCAGCCAUCAUUUAAAGAAAGCGUAAUAGCUCACUGGUCGAGUCGGCCUGCGCGGAAGAUGUAACGGGGCUAAACCAUGCACCGAAGCUGCGGCAGCGACGCUUAUGCGUUGUUGGGUAGGGGAGCGUUCUGUAAGCCUGUGAAGGUGGCCUGUGAGGGUUGCUGGAGGUAUCAGAAGUGCGAAUGCUGACAUAAGUAACGAUAAAGCGGGUGAAAAGCCCGCUCGCCGGAAGACCAAGGGUUCCUGUCCAACGUUAAUCGGGGCAGGGUGAGUCGACCCCUAAGGCGAGGCCGAAAGGCGUAGUCGAUGGGAAACGGGUUAAUAUUCCCGUACUUGGUGUUACUGCGAAGGGGGGACGGAGAAGGCUAUGUUGGCCGGGCGACGGUUGUCCCGGUUUAAGCGUGUAGGUGUGUGUUCCAGGUAAAUCCGGUUCACUUUAACACUGAGGCGUGAUGACGAGGCACUACGGUGCUGAAGUAACAAAUGCCCUGCUUCCAGGAAAAGCCUCUAAGCAUCAGGUAACAUCAAAUCGUACCCCAAACCGACACAGGUGGUCAGGUAGAGAAUACCAAGGCGCUUGAGAGAACUCGGGUGAAGGAACUAGGCAAAAUGGUGCCGUAACUUCGGGAGAAGGCACGCUGACACGUAGG
rnacentral:rRNA from 1 species